GUGGGGAAUAUUUGGCAAUGGGCGAAAGCCUGACCCAGCAACGCCGCGUGAGGGAAGAAGGUUUUCGGAUUGUAAACCUCUGUCCUUGGUGACGAAAAAAAUGACGGUAGCCAAGGAGGAAGCCCCGGCUAACUACGUGCCAGCAGCCGCGGUAAUACGUAGGGAGCAAGCGUUGUCCGGAAUGACUGGGCGUAAAGGGCGUGUAGACGGCCGAAUAAGUCUGGAGUGAAAGUCCUGCUUUUAAGGUGGGAAUUGCUUUAGGGCCAGUUUGGCUUGAGUGCGGACGAGGUAAGUGGAAUUCCCAGUGUAGCGGUGGAAUGCGUAGAGAUUGGGAGGAACACCAGUGGCGAAGGCGACUUACUGGGCCGUAACGGACGUUGAGGCGCGAAAGCGUGGGGAGCGAACAGGAUUAGAUACCCGUGUAGUCC
rnacentral:rRNA from 1 species